rnacentral:rRNA from 1 species
UACAGAGGGUGCAAGCGUUAAUCGGAAUUACUGGGCGUAAAGCGUGCGCAGGCGGUUAUAUAAGACAGAUGUGAAAUCCCCGGGCUCAACCUGGGAAUUGCAUUUGAAACUGGGGAACUAGAGUGUGUGAGAGGGGGGUAGAAUUCCAAGUGUAGCGGUGAAAUGCGUAGAGAUUUGGAGGAAUACCAGUGGCGAAGGCGGCCCCCUGGCACAACACUGACGCUCAGGUGCGAAAGCGUGGGGAGCAAACAGG